GUAAGCAUAGUUUAAUACAAAACUUUAGAUUGUGAUUCUAAAAAUAGAGGUUGAACUCCUCUUGCUCACC
rnacentral:tRNA from 1 species